CGACUACACACUAGACUGUGAGCUGAGAAAGUUCCCAACCUGUGAAUGCUCGAUGGAAGUUGCAGGCGUCUGUAGAAGAAAGCUGCUGCCUUGUAAGGGAGUGGUGAAAGCCAAGCAAUAUGAACAGGACAUCAGAAGCUCCUACUAUUCCUGGUGUCUCUAACAAUUUGACUUUUCCCAGCAUUGUCACCUUGGAGCCACAGUAAUGUCCCAUCAGAAGAGCUCAAUCAGAGGAACACCAAUGCAAACUCACAAGCGGUACUGCCAAGCUCAGAAGGAACCUUUAAGUCUGGACUGCUCCCCACUCCAUGUUCCUGCUUAGCCUUCAGGUCUUUCUGUUGCUUGCUUUCUGUGGCUUCUUGUUUGUUGACACUCCUGAAGCCGUGCUUCCUUUUUAAAUGGCAUUUUAACACCAAUGUCCCCAGAUAGCCAUGGUACUCCCCUCGGCUGGAAUAUGCAGGGUGUAUGGGGUGGAAAAUUGUUGCAACUUAAAUUAGAAGCAUGAAAACAAUGCAGGAAAAUUCCAUCUGAGGCUGUGUCUCUUGCUUAGUAGAAAUCUCAGCUUUCAGAAGAACUGAUGCUCGUUUUGGUGAGCCAGUGGUGGCAAAGGUUUCACUCUGAUUUCACUUUCAUUGCCUUUGGAAGGUCUUAGUCAGCAUCUUGCCUCUGCUCAAAGACUCAAACCAAGAGUGCGAUGAGGGUUAACUGCACAGUGUCAUAUUUGUGUCACGACAGAUCGAUGAGCUCAUGGUUAAUUCGUUGACUGUCUGUUUCAAGCAGCCCUUUGGUUCAUCUGUUCCACUCUACCAGCCAGGCUCUGCCUUGCUUCUCCUACGACAGUUACUUGGACUCUGGUUUCAACUGCUGAUCAUGAUAAGGAUUCUAGUACAGAGGAUUCUCUGGCUGUUCCAUAUGCAUUCGUUAUUAUUAUUCAAUCACAUUACUGUUUAUUUUUACUCUCCACUUACUUAACUCAGAUGAAUUGGGAGAGGUUGGUAGAGCAUCCUCAAAGUUACUUCCAUCCCCACCUAUCGCCCUUUCUUGGCUAGGCAAGUGAUCUUUGAUAUCUAAUUUAUACCAUUAAAUACAUGAAAGUAGA
rnacentral:lncRNA from 10 species